rnacentral:rRNA from 1 species
GACGAACUGUCCUAACGUUGUUCGGAAUCACUGGGCUUAAAGGGCGCGUAGGCGGUCCGACAAGUCAGGGGUGAAAUCCUGCAGCUUAACUGCAGAAGUGCCUUUGAUACUGUCGGUCUUGAGGGAGAUAGGGGUGUGCGGAACUCACAGUGGAGCGGUGAAAUGCGUUGAUAUUGUGAGGAACGCCGGAGGCGAAAGCGGCGCACUGGAUCUCUUCUGACGCUGAGGCGCGAAAGCUAGGGGGAGCAAAGC